AUUGAACGCUGGCGGCAGGCUUAACACAUGCAAGUCGAGCGGAGAUGAGGUGCUUGCACCUUAUCUUAGCGGCGGACGGGUGAGUAAUGCUUAGGAAUCUGCCUAUUAGUGGGGGACAACAUUCCGAAAGGAAUGCUAAUACCGCAUACGUCCUACGGGAGAAAGCAGGGGAUCUUCGGACCUUGCGCUAAUAGAUGAGCCUAAGUCGGAUUAGCUAGUUGGUGGGGUAAAGGCCUACCAAGGCGACGAUCUGUAGCGGGUCUGAGAGGGUGAUCCGCCACACUGGGACUGAGACACGGCCCAGACUCCUACGGGAGGCAGCAGUGGGGAAUAUUGGACAAUGGGGGGAACCCUGAUCCAGCCAUGCCGCGUGUGUGAAGAAGGCCUUAUGGUUGUAAAGCACUUUAAGCGAGGAGGAGGCUACUGAGACUAAUACUCUUGGGUAGUGGACGUUACUCGCAGAAUAAGCACCGGCUAACUCUGUGCCAGCCGCCGCAGUAAAAC
rnacentral:rRNA from 1 species